AGCGAACGCUGGCGGCAGGCUUAACACAUGCAAGUCGAACGAACUCUUCGGAGUUAGUGGCGGACGGCUGAGGACCACGGGGGAACGUGCCUUUUGGUUCGGUACACUUCAGGUUAACUUGAGCUAAUACCGCAUGUGCCCUUCGCGGGUAAGAUCUAUCGCCAUUAGAGCGGCGCGCGUCUGAUUAGCUAGUUGGUGAGGUAACGGCUGACCAAGGCGACGAUGAGUGGCUGGUCGGAGAACAGGACCUGCCACACUGGGACUGAGGCACGGCCCAGACUCGGACGGAGGGCAGCGGAAGGGAGUCUUGCGGAAUGAGGGAAAGUCUGACACAGCCGUGCCGGGGGAAUGAUGAAGGUCGUAGGAUUGUAAAAUUCUUUCAGCGGGGACGUGAGUGACGGUACCCGGAGAAGAAGCACCGGCUAACUACGUG
rnacentral:rRNA from 1 species